UAAAAGGAGUGAAAAAUCAGAUGGAACACAUGAGUGAUAAGGUGGACCGCAUAGAUGCAUUCUUGAAACAAAAGUUUCCUGGAGAGGAUUGGAUAACCAAAAUGGUGGCAUCAAAAAAUGAUAAUCCUGUGCAUAUUGAGAAUCGUAGUACAGGAAAUAAGAGCUAUGCAGGUUUAGCUUUACGUCGUGAGUACCUAACAAAACUAGUACAGGUAUGUCCAGAGCAUGACUUGAAGUAACUUGACAGUACAGCUUCCUAUGGACAACAAAAUUACAUGUUGAUGAUUCAUUUCUAUUACAGGGAUCUCAAAACAAAAAAGUAGCGGAUCAUAGUCGGCCAGUAUCCGAACAAAAGCAAGUCUAUUUGAUGUCAAUGAGGCAUGAAAACAAAGCUGUGGCCAAAGGAAAUUUAGUGGCUACCGAUAGCACACAUGUGGUCGGUGGAAACAUGCUUGGAAAUGAAUAUGUCGCUGUUGCUGUUCAUGUUGUCAGUGACAUUGGGGAUGAGAAUUUGCCUAGACCAUUUGAAAAUAUUCACACAGUAAGAGAUGCCAUAGGCUAUGUUAUUGCUUGGCCAAAAUCACGUGUGAGAAGGCCUAAGAUCUCAACUCCAAGACGUGCAUGACAACUUGG